GCCCGGAUGGCGGAAUUGGUAGACGCGCUGGUCUCAAACACCAGUGGAUUAAUCUCCGUGCCGGUUCGAUCCCGGCUCCGGGUA
rnacentral:tRNA from 1 species